GCAGGCAGGAGAGUUGGCCCUGAGGUCACAAGAGCAGGAGAGCUGUCCCUGCCCCUUAGCAGUUGCAGUACCUGGUAAAGUGGCCCUUAAACCCUGCCUGGGUAACACAAUAGAUCUUGCUUUGAAAGUGUAGGUUUAGUAGAACUGACGCUGCUAAGGAUGUAAAAGCAGAAGAACUGGCCCUGCUCCUUGCUCAUAAUUACAAGGGCUGAACAAGCCAGGAUAAUGCAGGAGAGCUCACCCUGGUGGUGAGGACAAGGGAGAGCUGAUUGGCUGACCAACCUUGCAACUACCCAAGCCUGGAACCACAGUUAUGAGUUGGCUCAGCCCAACAUCCACCCCAUCUGUGGUCUGCUGGAGCAUGUGAAGGGGUUAGUCCUGCAGACACAAAGCUGCAGGAUCUCCAUGACACAGGACAACAGGAUAACCACGAGGAGUUCCAAAAACAAUGAAAUUGUGGUGGCACAAAAAGGCAAUUUCCCCAGUGAUGCCACAGUAGUCAUUACAAGCCUUUGGGACCUUGACCCCAGUAUAUCUUCAAAUAUAUAGACGCCGAGCUAAGAGCUGAGAGCACUGUUUCUGAUGCUGUCUAUAGCUCCAAGCCCCAGGUCCUCAGACUCCAUCUGGCUCCAGGACAGAGAUGCUCAGGAAUGCUGUGUCCCACCUGAGAAGGAAGCAGUGGAGGGGCCUGCACACUGCAUUCAUUACUGUCAGCUCAUCUGCCCAGCCUUGCACCCCAAGAGAGGGCAGCAGAUAUAUGCCUGCGGGGCUGACACCGGUGAGGAAUGGAGAGGCAUGCAGGACACCGGGUCCACAAGCAUCGGGUACCUGGAUGUCCAUGGAGACUCUGAGAAGAAACAAGAGGUGACUGUCAGUUGGUAGGGCAGGCCGUGGUGAGCACAGAGAUAAACACGAUCCUUGCUGGAUGUUCUCAGGUCAGGGAAGCUCAGCAAAGAAUCCAGUCUCCAUCCUUCCCCAUCACACAUGACCUUCAGGCGUGAGGCAGUGAUUGACCUCAAGAUGCCCUCAACUCACUUUUGAAACUUUCACAUCUCUGCUCUGAAAGAUAAGGGAUUGUCAUUCUUUAGACUUUUACUAUUAGCUAAGGGCUGGGUGGUCUUAGUGGUACCUCAGCAUCCUAUAUACCUGGCCAGCGCUUUAUAAUACAAAGCCACCUUCCUAGAUGAUGUAUUUAUUCUUAACUUACUAACUUUAGAGAAGUAGGUGUAAUCGAGCCCAAGAUUUAUCCUUGGGACCCCAUAAGAUGUUGUUUGUCAUUUAACCCUCUUCCAGCCUCCUUGGGUAUCCACACACCUAUGGUACAUAUACAAGACAUGCACACAUACAUAUAAAUAAAAAUAAAAAUGAAAUCUUAAAAAGAAAAGUAUCCUCUUAUUAGCUUUGGCCUCUCUCUUCCUCCCUCCCUCCCUGCCC
rnacentral:lncRNA from 1 species